ensembl:snoRNA SNORD115 Small nucleolar RNA SNORD115
AGGUCAAUGAUGACACCUAAAAUUGUCUUGAACAGAGACAAUGACAGAAAAAUCUUGCUCAGUAAGAUAACACUGAGGCCC